UACGGAGGGUGCGAGCGUUGUCCGGAAUCACUGGGCGUAAAGGGCGCGUAGGCGGCUCGUGAAGUCAGUGGUGAAAGCCCAGGCUCAACUCUGGGUCGGCCACUGAUACUCGGCGAGCUCGAGUUUGGUAGAGGCAGAUGGAAUUCCGGGUGUAGCGGUGGAAUGCGUAGAGAUCCGGAAGAACACCGGUGGCGAAGGCGGUCUG
rnacentral:rRNA from 1 species